rnacentral:rRNA from 1 species
AACGAACGCUGGCGGCGUGGAUAAGACAUGCAAGUCGAACGGGACAGACCGAGUAGCAAUAUUUGGAAUGUUCAGUGGCGAACGGGUGCGUAACACGUGGAUAACAUUCCGGAAAGCGGGGAAUAGCCCAGGGAAACUUGGAUUAAUACCGCAUGUGGCCGCAAGGCUAAAGACGGGGACCGCAAGGCCUGUCACUUUCCGAUUGGUCCGCGGCCUAUCAGCUAGUUGGCGGGGUAAUGGCCCACCAAGGCUACGACGGGUAGCUGGUCUUAGAGGACGACCAGCCACACUGGAACUGAGACACGGUCCAGACACCUACGGGUGGCAGCAGUCGAGAAUCUUUCACAAUGGGGGCAACCCUGAUGGAGCGACGCCGCGUGGAGGAUAAGGUCUUCGGAUUGUAAACUCCUGUCAUGCGAGGACAAGGUACUCAGGCUAAUAACCUGAUUGUUUGAUGGUACCGCAAGAGGAAGAGACGGCUGACUCUGUGCCAGCCGCCGCAGUAAUAC